rnacentral:rRNA from 1 species
AGAGAGAGACAUGCGCGCAUAUCAAUAAGCGGAGGAAAAGAAACUAACAAGGAUUCCCUUAGUAACGGCGAGUGAAGCGGGAAGAGCUCAAAUUUGAAAUCUUCAAGGUUCUACCUUGACGAAUUGUAGUUUAUAGAAGUGUUUUCUGUUAGUGGAGUGGCAAAAGUUCUUUGGAAUAGGACAUCAUAGAGGGUGAGAAUCCGUAUUUGGUCAUUCCUCCUAGCGUUGUGAUACACUUUCAACGAGUCGGAUUGUUUGGGAAUGCAGUCCAAAAUGGGUGGUAAAUUUCAUCUAAAGCUAAAUAUUGGCGAGAGACCGAUAGCGAACAAGUACCGUGAGGGAAAGAUGAAAAGAACUUUGAAAAGAGAGUUAAACAGUACGUGAAAUUGUCAAAAGGGAAGCGUUUGACACCAGUGUUGUUUUUCCGAAAAUCAAUUACGAAUGUCUUAUUUUUGAGGAGUUAUGACCUCAUCGGCUUGCUCCUUUCUUUAUGAAACUUUCUUAAUGCACUUUUCGGUUAACAAGUCAACAUCAAUUUCUUUUGUUGUAAAAGGGUAUGAGGAAGGUGGCUUUCUUUUCGGAGAAAGUGUUUAUAGCCUUGUGCCUCUGCAAUCGGAGAGAUUGAGGUCUGCAGCGUAGAUCCUUCGGGGUUAGAUACAGUUUGUGCUAAGUUAUAGCUUUUCAUAGACAACUUGUUGACUAUGUUUAGUCUUGUAGCUUACUCGCUGAUGCUAUUUUACCUACGCUUAGGAUGUUGAUAGUCACAGCGUGUAC